UUGAAGAACCCCUUUCAUUCUCUGUGGUACACGGAAUAGGUGCAAAUUAAAAGCGAGGGUCGACCUCUGCCUGAGAUCAGUUUCAUGAAGAAGGAUGAAAAGGUGAGGGUGUUCAAUACCAACUGGUAUCAAAAGUAUAGCUGGUUAACAGGGAGCCUUUCAUCAAGCCGCCUGUAUUGCUGGCCUUGCCUGCUUUUUGGAAAGCCUUGGUCGAAAAGUGGGUACAGUGACCUGAAGAACAUCGAUUGUUCAACAUCGAUCGUUCAGCAAAAGCAGGGAACAUAUAAAUGCCCACAUCAAAUUCAAGCUUCUGGGUAUGUAUUCAAACUGCCCAACUCAAUGAGAAAGUAAGAAGAAACAGGGAUGUUAUCAAGCUGUUUAUCAACACCACUGCAUUUUUGGGUAUGCAAUAAUUUGCUUUUAGAGGACACGAUGAGAUGGAAAGUUCCACCAACAAGUGAAACUACAAGGAGCUUGCAGAGUCAAUUCCUGUCCUGCACUGGUCAAGCCUCUGAACACCUCAACUCAUACCCUCAUUCAAUCACUGCCGUGAUCCCUUUCCAACACUGUUUAUUACGUCAGCUCGAGGAAAGGGAAUAAGACAGCUGGCUCUUUCAACACUGGGCGCAGGACAGAGGAGGUCAGAACUGUGGCACGGGUUGAUUUGGAUCAAAUUAGGUUGGUAAAAGAGGAUAUAAUUCACCUAAAAGGUUGAAUACAUUGGCCAUGCUCUCAAUCCAGCAUGACUUCU